rnacentral:rRNA from 1 species
UCAACGGAGAGUUUGAUCCUGGCUCAGGACGAACGCUGGCGGCGUGCUUAACACAUGCAAGUCGAACGGUAAGGCUCUUCGGAGUACACGAGUGGCGAACGGGUGAGUAACACGUGA